UGCUCAGUGGAUGGAUGGGCAUCAGUUGAGAAAACUAAGGUCAUCACAUGACUCACUAUCACAAUGUGAGGAGCCCUUUCACAUAAAAGGUGGCAACCCAAUAUCCGGGGUAGGGACAAGCGACCUGUAUGGUCUCUAGAGUAGGAGGACUUGAUGGACAUUCUUGUCCUCCUCAGGCUGAGCUGUAAUAACUUUGGAGAUCCACUCAUUUUUAAUCCAUCUCCAUCUUUUGUCAGAUACUUUAGACAAAUACCUGCAAAACUAUUAAAAUUACCACCGGCCUCACCUCUUCUUGAUGUUUAGUGCUAAUUAGCAGAUGCUAAUAUGCUAGCACGCCUAAUUUAAGAUGGUGAACGUGGGCGUUACACCUGUUAUACAUCAGCAUGUUAGCAUCUUCAUGGUGACCUUUUUUUCUUAGCCUGUAUACACGCUCGGACUCUUAGCUAGUAGCAUGGCCACGAAAGACGACUUCAAAGAGAGGUGCGGCCUUCGUUUCCGGGGUAACGAGGGAUCCGACCUAUCCCAAGAUUCAUUGCGGGCCCGGGAAUGAAAGAAAACAACACCGACAGAGAGCUUGAGGAUUACACUUUUGAAAUCCUGACAGUGAUAAUACUCAGCGGAAAUGAAAACGAAGCCACUGCUGUAAUGUCAUGAGCUGUUUGCAGUGGACAUUCAAGACCUGGCAGUCACCACUGACAGCUUUGGGAUCAAGCCAGCACAGAGGAGGCGGGAGAGGGAGCUGUGACUCUGUUCUCUGCGGAGCGUUGACCUCUUUUUGUGAUGUAAAUGUUUUGUGUAAACUGGGUUUCAGUUCGCAGUCCGGUCUGAAUACUGAGAGGCUUCAUGAAACAGGAGAUUUUCACAUGAACUCCCGAGUGUGUGUCUCCACCAGUCGUCUCUCUGUGGGCGUCCACAUGCUUCCAUGAACGCCACACUGAUGUGCUCUGACCCCACAUGGCCGCUCUCGCAGCACCGACACAUUCGAACCAUAUGCAUCACAAAAGCUCCGUCAACCGUGUGAAACAACACUGUCAGAAAGUCACAGUGUUUUGACCUUUGACCUCCUGUUGUUGAAUGCUGUUAUUGUCAAUCUGAUCAGAGAGUUAGGCGUGAAAUAAUGGCGUUGUUGGACAGAAACGUCGCCGUAGCUGCAGUAUUUUUAGUUUAGUUUGAUGGUAGACUUUUAUUUUAGACAUCAAGAUGUUUUUUUUUUUUUUUUACAAACUGAUUAUAUAUGCAGUAUGUCACAAUACAUAUUUUUUUUUGGCAACACAAAUUUGCAUUGUCUUUUUAAUUGACUUGUGUGGACAUAUAAUACCUGUAUCAGGUACCUAUAAAAUAGUUACAGGUAAUUACAUGGAAGAAAACAGGACUAUAGAAAGUAUGUGGGUUGUAAUAUAAUGUGCUGCUAUUCUGCCCUUUUUUUUACACUUUAGUUACACAAUAUGAACAAGGUUAACACCUCAUUUCCCAAACUUUCUGUUUCCCAGUACUGUACUCCAGGAUUUACAAGAAUAUUAAAGAGUAUAAUUUAUUUCUCCUUUCCACUGA